AUAUAUAUAGUAUAAACAAUUACAUUUAAUUUCCAAUUAAAAAAUUUUAAUAAAAUAUAUAUA
rnacentral:tRNA from 1 species